rnacentral:rRNA from 1 species
CAGUAGCCGCGGGAAUACGUAGGUCCCGAGCGUUGUCCGGAUUUAUUGGGCGUAAAGGGAGCGCAGGCGGUUUAGUAAGUCUGAAGUUAAAGGCAUUGGCUCAACCAAUGUAUGCUUUGGAAACUGUUAGACUUGAGUGCAGAAGGGGAGAGUGGAAUUCCAUGUGUAGAGGUGAAAUUCGUAGAUAUUGGGAAGAACACCGGUGGCGAAGGCGGCGACCUGGUCCUUUUACUGACGCUGAGGCGCGAAAGCGUGGGGAGCAAACAGGAUUAGAGACCCCGGUAGUCCCUGUCUCUUAUAC